AGCAGCCGCGGUAAUUCCAGCUCCAAUAGCGUAUAUUAAAGUUGUUGCAGUUAAAAAGCUCGUAGUUGAAUUUCGGGGUUAGUAAGUUGGUCGUGCCACUGGUAUGUACUGGCUUUACUGAUUCCUCCUUCUUGUAGAACCGUAAUGCCAUUAAGUUGGUGUUGCGGGGAAACAGGACUGUUACUUUGAAAAAAUUAGAGUGUUUAAAGCAAGCUAACGCUUGAAUACAUUAGCAUGGAAUAAUGAAAUAGGACGUUCGAUCCUAUUUUGUUGGUUUCUAGGAUUGACGUAAUGAUUAAUAGGGAUAGUUGGGGGCAUUAGUAUUCAAUUGUCAGAGGUGAAAUUCUUGGAUUUAUUGAAGACUAACUACUGCGAAAGCAUUUGCCAAGGAUGUUUUCAUUAAUCAAGACGAAAGUUAGGGGAUCGAAGACGAUCAGAUACCGUCGUAGUCUUAACCAUAAACCUAUGCCGACUAGGGAUCGGGAUGAUGUUAAUUUUAUAAUUGACUCAUUCGGCGCCU
rnacentral:rRNA from 1 species